UUCAUGUCUCUGGGCCAAGCCGCCCGGGAGAGGAAAACAGAAGUAAAAAAGCAAAGUCCACAGACUUGGGCCCCAGUGCCUCCCUCCGCCCGCAUAAGCACUAGGGGAGAAGAGGCGCAGGUCAGCGCCAGCCCCCGCCACGUGGUGGCCCGGCCAGCGGCAGGACCGGGGGCAGGCGGAGCUGGGGGGCUCGGGACCCGGCCCGGGGACAGCCAGCGCGGGGACGGGGGACGCCAGAGCUCGGGUGAGCGCGGGGUCGCGCGCUGGUUCCCUGGGCGCCCCGACGCGGCUGCAGGGAAGCUGCGGGCUUGGCUGCAGGAGAGCGGGAGGAAGAGAAAGAGAGACAGAGCACGAGCAGUGGGGGGCAGAGAGAGAGGGAGACACAGAAUCUACAGCAGGCUCCAGACUCCGAGCUGUCAGCACAGAGCCCGACGCAAGGCUCAAACCCAGGAACUGUGAGAUCAUGUCCUGAGCCAAAGUCAGACGCUUAACCGACUGAGCCAUCCAGGCGCCCCAAGAAUGAUUAGUGUUAACCGUAGGGACUCUGUGUGAGGACAGUACCCUUCACUGCCAUUUCUGCCAUCUGGUUCCUCUUACCUGACAAAUGGGGGUCAGGUGGUGUGUACCCAGCCAACAGCUCUCAAGACUCUUCUCUUACGAAAAUGUAAAUGUUGGACUAUGGUUGGGAUCUUUGGAACAGAGGUCUGUGAUGUCUCCAAAAGACACAGAACCUAUUGCCUUCAAACAGCUAAGAUUCCAUCAGAACCUGGAGUGACAGAUCCCUUGGAUCUUCAAAGUCCGGACCUCUGAGUCAGUUAAGGGAGAUCUCUUGUUCUUUUUUGUAUAAUCCCAAUCAUGAGAUCUCUAAAGUCAACUGACUAAUAAAAAACUGUGCCUUCAUCAUUGACCCCCCAACCUGAUAACAUCCUCAUUGACUAAUCUUCCCAAUUGAUUUGCCCUUUGGUCUAAUUUUCUACUUGGUGUUUGCCUGAUUGAGAAAUCUGUUCCAUCAAUGGUUCCUGGCCAGUCAGCAUUCACAACAACUGAGGUUCUACACUGGCUGUCCUUUGACAGACUUUCCUCUUCCAUCUCAUAUCUUCAGAGUGACUUUCAAAGCUCUCCCUAAGUUUCUUGUCAUACUUCUAUGAAGGUGAACAGUUAAAUCAAUAGUUUUUAUCUGCUUUGCUGUCAGAAUUCAAUGAUCUGUCACAGCUCUUGCCCAAUUCACCUAAUCGUUACUGUUCAAAUGUUUUUAUCUCUGUUUCAAGUAUUGGGUUAACUGGGCUAGUGACCCACCUCAGAGUUAAACUUUGAAGUGUAACGUUAACAUUUUACUAUACUUUCCCACAACUCAGAACACAUACUAUUUUUAUAUUUAGUGUUUAAUCUAACUGCAUACAUCUUUGCAACUAUCCUGCAAGAUUUUUCCUGUAUUUUCUACCUGGGGAGGUUUUUACUUAUAAUCAUUCUUUCCUUAAUCACCUCACAAAUCCUUUGGUCUCACCAAUCGUUGCUCCAAACCCAUAGACCAAACAUAGCUUACUCUAAGUGAUGAAUAAGAUGCUAUGGUUCCUUGAUAUUCACAUCUGAAUUUAGUCACUUACAGAUUUUCAUAAAACAGAUCUCUCACUUCUACAACUGGGAGUGUUUAUAAAUUGUUUAUGUUAAACAAUUCCCCCAUGAUGCUUUUCAUAUUGAAUAAAGUAAUACUUUUAAAUCAA